GCGCAUAUGAUGUAGUGGUAACAUUGCUCACUUCCAAUGAGUCCUCGCCUGUUCGAUCCAGGCUAUGCGUA